rnacentral:rRNA from 1 species
AUUGAACGCUGGCGGAAUGCUUUACACAUGCAAGUCGAACGGUAGAGGGGGCAACCCCUUGAGAGUGGCGAACGGGUGAGUAAUAUAUCGGAACGUGCCCAGUCGUGGGGGAUAACGUAGCGAAAGUUACGCUAAUACCGCAUAUCCCCUGAGGGGGAAAGCAGAGAUGCGCCCACGGAGCAGCCUGCGUCCGAUUAGCUAGUUGGUUAGGUAAAGGCUGACCAAGGCGACGAUCGGUAGCUGGUCUGAGAGGAUGAUCAGCCACACUGGAACUGAGACACGGUCCAGACUCCUACGGGAGGCAGCAGUGGGGAAUAUUGGACAAUGGGCGCAAGCCUGAUCCAGCAAUUCCGCGUGGGUGAAGAAGGUCUUCGGAUUGUAAAGCCCUUUCGUUGGGGACGAUGAUGACGGUACCCAAAGAAGAAGCCCCGGCUAACUUCGUG